GCAGUUGUAGUACAUCGGUAGUAUAUCAGCUUCCCAAGCUGAGGAGGCGGGUUCGACUCCCGUCAACUGCU
rnacentral:tRNA from 2 species